ACUCCUACGGGAGGCAGCAGUAGGGAAUAUUGGACAAUGGGCGAAAGCCUGAUCCAGCAAUGCCGCGUGAGUGAUGAAGGCCUUAGGGUUGUAAAGCUCUUUUACCCGGGAUGAUAAUGACAGUACCGGGAGAAUAAGCUCCGGCUAACUCCGUGCCAGCAGCCGCGGUAAUACGGAGGAGCUAGCGUUGUUCGGAAUUACUGGGCGUAAAGCGCACGUAGGCGGCUAUUCAAGUCAGAGGUGAAAGCCCGGGGCUCAACCCCGGAACUGCCUUUGAAACUAGAUAGCUUGAAUCCAGGAGAGGUGAGUGGAAUUCCGAGUGUAGAGGUGAAAUUCGUAGAUAUUCGGAAGAACACCAGUGGCGAAGGCGGCUCACUGGACUGGUAUUGACGCUGAGGUGCGAAAGCGUGGGAGCGAAACAGGAUUAGAUACCCUGGUAGCGACUGA
rnacentral:rRNA from 1 species